GAUCCUUAACCUUCGGUACCACAAGAGAAGUUCCUGAAUUUAACUUUUAUGUAGAUCAUUCAUUUACACGACUGAGGAAUAAAGGUAUAAAAGAGUGGAGAGGGAAGCGUGUAUCUUCUGGAAAUUGUUAUAGGUUGAGAGAGAUUUAGGACGCAUAUCAACCCAGUACGACAUGAGGGUCUUUUUUGUGUCCUGAUUCAGACAGACCAAUUAUUAAAACAAACUUUUGUAGGCAGUUAGGGAAAUUUAUUUUUAUUUAUUUAUUUAGUCUUUUUAGGGCUGCACCUACAGCGUAUGGCGGUUCCCAGGAUAGGGGUCGAAGUGGAGCUGUAGCCGCUGGCCUACACCACAGCCACAGCAAUGCAGGAUCCGAGCCGCACCUGCAACUUACCCCACAGCUCAAGGCCACACCAGAUCCUUAGUACAGUGGGCGAGGCCAAGGAUCGAACCCCUGUCCUCAUGAAUGCUAGUUGGGUUUGUUAACCACUGCACCACGACGGAAACGCCUCACAUGGAUCUUUAAACUCAGAGACUCUUUCCUGGCUGUGGUCAGAGAGAGAUGUGACAGAGAGGCAUGGCAAUGCUGGCUUUGAAAUGGAAGGAAGGGGCCACGUGCCAAGGUUGGAGGACAGCCCCCAGAAGCUGGAAGAGGCAAAGAAGGGAAUUCUCCCCUGGAACCUCCGGAAAGGAGGGCAGCCCUGCUGGUACCUUGGUUGUAGUUCACACCUCUGACCUCCAGAAGAGCAGUUAUGUCAUAAACACAUGUGGUUAAGUUUUGGUAAUUUGUUACGGCAGCAAUAGAAAAUGACUGCAUUCCUUCUUGGAGCUAUUUCUGUAGCAGGGCAGAGAUGCCAGAAGCACCAGCAUCUCAGUUCUACUUGGGGUCUGGAGGCUGACAGAUCAGGGCUUGUGUCCUGGCUCUGCCGCAUGUUAGCUGUGCAACUGUGGGAGAGUUACGCCCCCUCUCUGGGCCUGCCUCCUUGUCUGUAAAAAGGGCGUAAGAGCACCUGCCUCACAGGGUUGCCCUGAUGGCGAAAUCAUACAGCGCGUGCAAAACCUUCAGCACAUAGUAACUGCUCAGGAGAAGCCAGCUGUGAAUAAUACUGUGACCAUGACCACCAUUCUAACGCGGUGCUCUCCCUGGAUCCUCCAGGUCCCAUUGUCCUCUCUUUUGAUUCCUUAGGGACCUGGGAGGUGGCGCAUACAUUAGCCCUUGUUUCUGCAGCAAACACCCUCUCUCGUCUGAGUCUGGUGUGUGUGUUUCCCUGUGCGGGAGCCUGUUUCUCCUGACAGUGGUCAGCAGCUUGGGGGCCAGGCUCCGGUCCCAUGACAAGGGCUUAGCACUGGGAAUUAGGGUCCCAAGCCGCUUGAGUGAUUGAUUGAUUCAUUAUCGGCAGCUUCCGAGAGACUGUUUUCUCACUCUUCCCAAACUCGAGGGAAGACCCUGGCAGGCUCCUGUGCUGCUUCCAUGUGUCACAGCCCCUCAGAGUGAUGGGAAUCUCCAGGACCCCAUCUGUCCCCAUGAGCCAGCUCUUGUAUGAGCUCCUCUCCUCCUGAGGCUGGCCACCUUUGAUCAGGUAGUUCUGGUUAUUAGAAAGGUUUUCUCCCCACCUGUGACCCCUGUCCCUGUCCUGCCCACUGGGGCCACCUGGAGUCCACUUCCCCUUCUGCCUUUUGGCUGUGUGAGGGCUGGCAGAAGGAGCAGAGGUUUGGGGGGCAGAGCUGUGGGGUCCAGUCCCAGCUUGGCCACUUAUAUGCUGGUGGCCUUGGGAUUAAUGGCUUUGGGAUUAUUUGAGUCUUUUUUUUUUUAAACCAUUUUUAAAAAAUUUUUUCCUCUUUUUUGGGGGGGGAUGCACCCAUGAUACAUGGAGAUUCCUAGGCUAGGGGUCAAAUCAGAGCUGCAGCUGCCGGCCUAUGCGCCAUAGCCACAGCAAUGUGGGAUCCAAGCCACAUCUGCAACCUAUGCCACAGCUCAUUGCAAUGCCAGAUCCUUAGCCCACUGAGGGAGGCCAGGGAUCCACCUGCAUCCUCAUGGAUACCAGUCAGAUUCUUAACUCACUGAACCACAGUGGGAACUCCAGUUGUGUGUCUUUUAAUCCCAAACUCCUAAUUUACGUCCCCCCCCUCCGCCCCCAGUAUUCCCUUUGGUAACCAUAAGUUUAUUUUCUAUGUCUGUGAGUCUGUUUCAGAUUCGUAAAUAAGUUCAUUUGUAUCAUUUUAAAAAUAUAUUUUUAGAUUCCACAUGUAAGUGAUAUCAUAUGGUAUCUAUAUUUCUCUUUCUGACUUACUUCACUUAAUGUGAAAGUCCAUCCAUGUUGCUGCAAAUGUCAUUUCAUUAUUUUUCAUGGCUGAGUAAUAUUCCAUUGCAUAU
rnacentral:lncRNA from 1 species